rnacentral:rRNA from 1 species
GAUGAACGCUGGCGGCGUGCCUAAUACAUGCAAGUCGAGCGAACGGACGAGAAGCUUGCUUCUCUGAUGUUAGCGGCGGACGGGUGAGUAACACGUGGAUAACCUACCUAUAAGACUGGGAUAACUUCGGGAAACCGUAGCUAAUACCGGAUAAUAUUUUGAACCGCAUGGUUCAAAAGUGAAAGACGGUCUUGCUGUCACUUAUAGAUGGAUCCGCGCUGCAUUAGCUAGUUGGUAAGGUAACGGCUUACCAAGGCAACGAUGCAUAGCCGACCUGAGAGGGUGAUCGGCCACAUUGGAAGUGAGACACGGACCAGACUCCUACGGGAGGCAGCAGUAGGGAAUCUUCCGCAAUGGGCGAAAGCCUGACGGAGCAACGCCGCGUGAGUGAUGAAGAUCUUCGGAUCGUAAAACUCUGUUAUUAGGGAAGAACAUAUGUGUAAGUAACUGUGCACAUCUUGACGGUACCUAAUCAGAAAGCCACGGCUAACUACGUG